GAUGAACGCUGGCGGCGUGCCUAAUACAUGCAAGUCGAGCGAACGGACGAGAAGCUUGCUUUUCUGAUGUUAGCGGCGGACGGGUGAGUAACACGUGGAUAACCUACCUAUAAGACUGGGAUAACUUCGGGAAACCGGAGCUAAUACCGGAUAAUAUUUUGAACCGCAUGGUUCAAAAGUGAAAGACGGUCUUGCUGUCACUUAUAGAUGGAUCCGCGCUGCAUUAGCUAGUUGGUAAGGUAACGGCUUACCAAGGCAACGAUGCAUAGCCGACCUGAGAGGGUGAUCGGCCACACUGGAACUGAGACACGGUCCAGACUCCUACGGGAGGCAGCAGUAGGGAAUCUUCCGCAAUGGGCGAAAGCCUGACGGAGCAAAGCCGCGUGAGUGAUGAAGGUCUUCGGAUCGUAAAACUCUGUUAUUAGGGAAGAACAUAUGUGUAAGUAACUGUGCACAUCUUGACGGUACCUAAUCAGAAAGCCACGGCUAACUACGUG
rnacentral:rRNA from 1 species